rnacentral:ncRNA from 1 species
CUCUUAUCCAGAGUGGCGGAGGGACUAGGCCCUGCGAUGCCCGGCAACCAACGUAUCAAAUCCUGAUACGGAAAGGUGCUAAUUCCUACAGAUCCUUAAAAAGGUCUGAAAGAUAAGAG